GGAUUUUAAUCAAAACAAUUGAUUAUACCAAAUCAAUAAUCGAUUACCCAAUAACAUUCAGAAAAUCUUUUCCGGAUUUUAAUCACAACAAUCGAUUAUACAGAAUUAAUAAUCGAUUACCUGACGGUAUUUGAAAACUUUACGACAACGGUCAGCUUCACAAUCGAUUGCACAAAAUUAACAAUCAAUUACUUAUCAGUUUUUGAAAAACAUUUUAGACACUGCCUCUUGACAAUCGAUUGUUAUAUACUCACAAUCGAUUAUUUAAUAAAUUU
rnacentral:lncRNA from 1 species